UACGGAGGGUGCAAACGUUGCUCGGAAUCACUGGGCGUAAAGGGCGCGUAGGCGGCCGAUUAAGUCGGGGGUGAAAGCCUGUGGCUCAACCACAGAAUUGCCUUCGAUACUGGUUGGCUUGAGACCGGAAGAGGACAGCGGAACUGCGAGUGUAGAGGUGAAAUUCGUAGAUAUUCGCAAGAACACCAGUGGCGAAGGCGGCUGUCUGGUCCGGUUCUGACGCUGAGGCGCGAAAGCGUGGGGAGCAAACAGG
rnacentral:rRNA from 1 species